UCUCACCAUCCCCAGCACGGACGAUCUCCACGUGCCCAACUUAUACUCAGUCUCAUCUCGAUGCAUGUGCACAAUAUUGUUUCAAUAGAGGGAAUGAUGAUGCAUCUCAAUCAAUCAAUAUGAAUAUAAUACAUAACCACCUCAAUUAUCUCAACUAUACGGGUGAAAUAAAUAAAACACAAUCACACAAGGAAUUCAAGUCAAUAAUAUAUUAGCUAAUGCCCAUAUGCUUUGGCAUUCUCAAAUUUCAAUCCACAUUCUAUAAUAGUAUUUUCCUUUUUAUAACACCGGUACUCGUACCAAUGCCCGUCACACCAUUGAUACGAGACCACCAUCUUUCGCCCUUACCCCUUUGUCUAUUUUCAUUUUUAAUUUUUAAUUAGGAAAACGUCCUUCAACAAGUCUAAAAAAAAAGUCUUAACAUACCUUAAAUGCCGAACUCGUGUCACCAAUCUUCAAGAUUUUUCCUUUCCCUUUCGCAAAGCUUCGGAACGUUCCCAAUCUAUCCAUUGUGCAAUAUUCGUAAGUAAGCGAGUUCAUAGGUUAUAUGUCUAACCUAAACUCCAAACUCACUCAUGUAUCCAAUCAAGCUCCUACUCUUGAUAUAUUUUAUAUGUCAAGAUUGUACUUACUAAAUUUCAAGCCUACUGUCAAGCCUCAACUCCUCAAAAUAUUAUGAUUCUAAUAAUACUCAUGUAACACAAUACCACCAAAAUUUUGUUAGCUAUAUCCAUAUACUUUAUGGAGUAUUACUAUAUGAAAAUUAAAAAUGAAAUAAAAGUUUAAAGCCAAUAAGUAGUUUGAUGUAACUUACUUAAAUAAAUAAUGUCUAUGGAAUUUUUCCGCAGGUUUCAUAUAUGAAAUCAAGCUUUUGUUUGCCAAAGAUUCCCCCCCCUUUUUUCCCCCAAUGGUUAUGCCUAAUUCUUAUUAAAUAAUUACACAUGAUAAUAAUUAAUAUAAACAUUCUCCUCUACUCUAAUCCAACACCCUCAAUACUUACGGUAACUCACUUAAUUUACCUGCUAGUCAUUAGGAAUAAAUUAAAUUAACAAGUUGUACAACCCAAAAAAAUUUCCAGCAAUACCUACUAUUAAUAAUAUCCUUCAUCGUCAAUAUGAAGAUUUAUAUAAUCCAAUGCAAUAAAAAAAAACUUAAUUCUCUAAAGAUAACAUACUAAUACUAGUGACUAAAUUCUGUAAAUAAAUAAAUUAAUACCCAUUUUCACUAGUUAACAAACAAGAAAAUGCACUUUAAAUGUGAGAUCCUUCAUUCUUUUCUUUAAUUUUAAUCAGUUCAAUUGCUUAAUUCCCAAAGAAUUGGUCAUGUCAUCUGCCACUUUCAUAAUGAGCCUCAUUAAUGGGCAUUCAAUGCUCCCCCCUUAGGUUGAUAAAGUUAUCACAUAAAUAAAAAAAAUGGUUCUUUUCCGUUCCUUCACAAGGGAUCUGAACAGAUCCAAAAAUAAUCUAUUUUCUCAUAUACACACCAACAAAUAAUUUAAAAUAACAAUUUAAUUCACUUGACAAUAUACUCAAAUGAAGAAUUGAAAAGUUUGAGAAUAAAUCGUUCACCUGAAGUCGACGGUUUCUUUUCCCCUACACGUUUUGCCAGAAUAUAUUAAUGGGGUUAUGCUAAUCAUUCAUUUAUAUUAAUUUACUAAAUGGGCUAUGUGAAAAAAAAGGUUUUAACUAAAUUAGGUGUUGAUCUGGCCCAUUAAGUAUGCAACUAUAUUAAAUAUUUAACACAUAUCUGACAACUAAAUAAUCGUGGUUACCGAAUAUUUCAAUUUUUUUAAUUUUAAAUUCUACGGAAAGAGUCAAGAUAGUUUGAGUUCUCCAAACGACCUAGCGGGCUGUUACAUCACCUACCACUUAAACAAACGUUCCUCCUCGAACGGAAAAAGAAAAGAACUAACCUGGAUGCUCAAAAAGAUGAGGAUAAUUACUCCUUAUGUCUGACUCUGUCUCCCAUGUAGCCUCCUCCACUGGACGGUGCUUCCACUGAACCUUUACUGAAGCAAUCUCCUUGGACCUUAGCUUCCGAAUUUGCCUAUCCAGAAUGGAGAUCGGCUCUUCCUCAACAGUCAAAUUCUGAUCAAGUAACACUGAAUCCCAUUGAAUCACAUGAUCCCCACCCUGAUGAUACUUCUUAAGCAUGGAGAUAUGAAAUACAGGAUGAACACCUGACAAACCAGGUGGCAAAGCCAACUGAUACGCCACCUCACCAAUACGCUCAAUAAUCUCGAAAGGACCAAUAUACCUUGGGCUCAACUUGCCCUUCUUUCCAAACCUCAUCACACCCUUCAUGGGUGAAACCUUCAAUAAAACCCUCUCUCCAACCAUAAACUCUAAAUCACGAAUCUUUCGAUCUGCAUAACUCUUUUGCCUACUCUGAGCCAUGAGAAGUCUAUCUUGGAUCAACUUGACCUUGUCCAAGGACUCCCUCAACAAAUCUGUACCCCAUGGUCUAACCUCAAAUGCAUCAAACCAGCCAAUUGGAGAUCGACAUCUCCUGCCAUACAGAGCCUCAAAUGGUGCCAUCUCAAUGCUCGAGUGAUAACUAUUAUUGUAAGCAAACUCUGCUAGAGGCAAGAACUGGUCCCACUGACCACCAAAGUCAAUCACACAUGCCCGCAACAUAUCCUCAAGAACCUGAAUAGUUCGCUCAGAUUGACCAUCAGUCUAAGGGUGAAAGGCUGUACUAAGAUCCACUCGAGUGCCUAACUCUUUCUGCAUAGACCGCCAGAAAUGAGAUGUAAAUUGGGUGCCACGAUCUGAAAUAAUAGAUAUAGGAACCCCAUGCAAACGAACUAUCUCUUGAAUAUAGAUCUUGGCUAACUUCUCUGAGUUAUAGGUAGUCUGAACUGGUACAAAGUGUGCAGACUUAGUCAGUCGAUCCACGAUGACCCAUAUAGCAUCAAACUUACCCAAGGUACGUGGCAACCCUACCACAAAGUCCAUAGCAAUGCGCUCCCACUUCCACUCAGGUAUGGGCAUCCUCUGAGUCAUACCUCCAGGCUUUUGGUGUUCAUACUUCACUUGCUGACAAUUCAAACAUCGAGAUACAAAAUCUACUAUGUCCCUCUUCAUACGACACCACCAAUAGUGUUGCUUCAAGUCACGAUACAUCUUAGUAGCCCCCGGAUAAAUAGAGUACCUCAAACUAUGAGCCUCCUCUAUGAUCAAUCUAGUCAAAUCACCUAUACGAGGAACACAUAUACGACCCUUAAUCCUCAAAACUCCCUCACUAUCAAGAAUUGCAGCCUUGGCUUCUCCUUUUAAAACCUUGUCCCUAAUCUUACAUAAAUCACCAUCAUCAAACUGUUGAGCCCGAAUCUGCUCCAACAAGGAUGACCUAGCCUCCAUAUAAGCCAACACCUUACCAGAUUCUGAAAUAUCAAGUCUCACAAAGCUAUUGGCCAGGGAUUGGACAUCCCUAGCUAAAGGACGCUCGCCAACCUGUAACAUGGCUAGACUACACAUACUUACCGCCUUCCGACUCAAGGCAUCUGCUACAACAUUUGCUUUGCCUGGGUGAUAAAGAAUAGUCAUAUCGUAGUCUUUGAGCAACUCCAAUCAUCUCCUCUGCCUCAAAUUGAGAUCCCUCUGAUUGAAUAUAUACUGGAGACUACGAUGAUCCGUGAACACCUCACAAUGCACACCAUAAAGAUAAUGCCUCCAAAUCUUUAAUGCAAACACAACAGACGCCAACUCUAAAUCAUGAAUAGGGUAGUUCUUCUCAUGAACCUUUAACUGCCUCGAAGCAUAAGCUAUCACCCUUCCCUUCUGCAUCAACACACAACCAAGACCAAUCCGAGAAGCAUCACAAUAUACAACAAAACCCUCUCCCUCCACGGGUAGGGUCAAAAUUGGAGCAGUAGUCAAUAAAGUUUUGAGCCUUUGGAAACUAACCUCACAUUCGUCAGACCACUGAAAAGUCACCUCCUUUUGUGUCAAUCUAGUUAAUGGAGAUGCAAUGGAUGAGAAACCCUCAACAAACCGUCGAUAAUAACCUGCAAGGCCCAAGAAACUCCGAAUCUCAGUAACUGAAGUAGGUCUAACCCAAUCUAUAACCGCCUCAAUCUUCUUAGGAUCCACCAUGAUACCCUCCUUGGACACUACAUGUCCCAAGAAUGCUACCGAACUAAGCCAAAACUCACACUUUGAAAACUUUGCAUAAAGCUUCUUCUCCUUUAGAAUCCCAAGAACAAUCCUCAAAUGAUGCUCAUGCUCCUCCUUAGUGCGUGAGUAUAUUAAUAUAUCAUCUAUGAAGACAAUAACAAAGGAAUCUAAAUACGGUCUGAACACUCCAUUCAUCAAGUCCAUAAAAGCUGCUGGGGCAUUAGUCAGUCCGAAAGACAUCACCAAAAACUCGUAAUGACCAUAACAUGUUCGAAAAGCCGUCUUAGGGAUAUCCUCUGCCCUAACCUUCAGCUGAUGAUAGCCAGAUCUCAAGUCAAUUUUGGAGAAAACUGAAGCACCCUGCAACUGAUCAAAUAAAUCAUCAAUACGAGGUAUCGGAUACUUAUUUCUGAUGGUUACCUUGUUCAACUGCCGAUAGUCAAUACACAUACACAUAGAUCCAUCUUUCUUCUUCACAAAUAACACUGGAGCACCCCAAGGAGAUACACUUGGUCUAAUAAAACCUUUGCUCAACAAAUCCUGCAGCUGCUCCUUCAACUCUUUCAAUUCAGCUGGUGCCAUACGAUAAGGAGGAAUGGAAAUAGGCCGAGUGCCUGGCUCCACAUCAAUACAAAAAUCAAUAUCUCGAUCUGGUGGAAGACCUGGCAAAUCGGUCGAAAAUACUUCUGAAAAUUCACUCACUACUGGAAUAGACUCAAGCAAAGGAGUCUCAAUACUAGUAUCUCGAAUGUGGGCCAAGUACACCAAACAUCCCCUCUGUACCAACUGACGAGCCUUAAGGAAUUAUAUCACACCCUUAGAAGGAUGACUAAGAGUACCUCUCCAUUCUACUAUAGGAAUUCCAGGCAUAGCUAAAGUGAUGGUCUUGGCAUGACAAUUUAAAAUUGCGUAGUAAGAAGAUAACCAAUCUAUACCAAGAAUCACAUCAAAAUCUAUCAUUUCUAAGACCUUGAGAUCUGCAUGAGUGUCAUACCCCAUCAAAGUAACAGUAGAUAAACGAUACACUUGAUUUACAACUACAGAAUCCCCGACAGGAGUAGAAACACGUAUUGGCAAAUCAAGAGACUCACACAAUAUAUCCAGACUAGGAGCAAAAUAUGUGGACACAUAAGAAUAAGUAGAGCCUGGAUCAAAUAAUACAGUAGCUGGUCGAUGACAAACCAGAAUAAUACCUGUGAUAACAGCAUUUGAGGCUUCAACCUCUGGCCUACCUGGAAAAGCAUAACAGUGAGAACGACCUCCAUCAGAUUGUGAACCUCCACGACCACCACCUCGACCAGAAGGAGAACCACCUCUACCAUUCUGUGCACCACCCCUAGCUGGAGGUUGUGCAACCCUGGAAGUCGAAGCCUGAGAACCCUGAUGUAAACCACCACGUCUGGUCCUAGGGCAGUCUCUCACAAAGUGUCCCAUAUCACCACACUCAAAGCAACCCCUACGAAACGCAGGCUGAUGAGAGGAACCCGAAUGACCAGAAUGCCCUCCAUGAACUACAGGUCUAGAAGAUGAACCCUGCGAAGUAUGUACAGAGCUCGAAGAGUUAUGCCCAGCGUAACUAGCCUCAGACGCUGGUAUAGCAGCAUGAAUGGGUCUGCUGGACUGAGGGUGAUAACCUCUGCCCAAGUAACCCCGACUCCUAGGCGGAGCACCACCAUAAUCACCUGAAUAACGAGUCGUCUUGCCCUCUCGCUGCUCAAAUCACUCACGUCGAAUCAUCUCCAACUCCUUAGAAGCAUCCACCACUUUCUGGAAUGGAACACCAGAAGCAGCAACCUGAGAAACUCCUAGACGGAUCGGAAUAAUCAGCCCCUUUACAAACCUUCUCACUCUCUCAGCCUCUGUGGGAAGUAUCAUCGAAGCAUGCCUAGCCAAGGCAUGAAAUUUACCCUCAUAUUCUGCAACUGACAUACCAUUUUGCUGCAAACCCUCAAACUCGGCCCUCUUGCGCUCCCUCUCACUGCGUGGAACAAAUUUGGAUAGAAAUACCUGAGUAAACUCAGUCCAGGAUAGUGGAUGAGAUCCGGCUGGCCUACUACUAAUAUAAUCCCUCCAUCACUGCUUAGCAGAGCCAGUCAUCUGAAACGUUGUGUAGUCAACUCCAUGAGACUCCACUAAUCCAAGAUUAUGCAACCUCUCAUGACAACUAACUAUAAACUCAUAUGCAUCCUCAGCUAAGUCACCAGUAUAAGUAGGAUGAUUCAUUAGUCUGAACCUCCCAAACAUCUUUUGCUCAUCAAUAGUCAUAGAAGGCCUGUUCACCAAAUGUGAUGUCAUAUCUGGAAACUCCAUACUAUCCAAACGAGGAGCUACAGCGGCAGCUGGCUGAGUCUUGGGAGUCUGAGAAUCUGGAGCAACUAUCGGAUCUGGAGUUUGACCUCCAACACGGGUCUGUGAGCCAUCAGAAGUGACAGGCAAAGCUCCUGCCUGGGCCAUCCCCUCUAGGAUUCCUAACAUACGAGCCAGGGUAUCUUGAAGCACUGGGGGAACAAUAGUACUGGUUGGAGCCUGAGCUGGCCCAUCCCCCUCGACACGAUCUUGCACAUCCCCAUGAAGAACAUCUGCAUCAGGAGGUACGGUCCUAUCAUGACCACGGGUAGCUAUUGGUACUUGACCACCCACAGGUGCUGCAAUACGGCCCCUACCCCGUCCUCGAGCUCGUCCCCUACCUCUACCUCGGAUAGUGUUCCCAGAAGCAGGCACAGGAAAAGGAUCCUGACCACCACUUGCCGAUGUACGAUUCCUCGCCAUCUGAGAGAGAAUGAGAUAUCAAGAUUAGAAUUUGUACAAGGUCAAGUGUGCACGAUAAUGAAUAAAAGAACAGAAUAUUUCCUAAAUGUCCUAUAGCCUCUCGAAGAUAGGUAUGGACGUCUUCAUACCGAUCCGCAAGACUCUACUAGACAUUGCCCUUGUACCCUUGAGACCGAUGAACCUAGGGCUCUGAUACCAAACUUGUCACGACCCAAAAUCACGAGUCGUGAUGGAACCUAUAUUCCCAACCAAUAGGUAAGCCAACCAACAUAUUUUUAACAAACUUAACUAACAAAGAAGUGAAAAGACAACAAUUUCCAAAUCUCCAACACUGAGUUCUUAUAAGUACGAAUGCGGAAAACUGAAAAAAAGUACUACCCAAGAAAUGGUGUCAUGAGUACAAGAGCUUCUAAAAUACGAUGCAAGUUUGAUACUAAAAGGCAAAUCUAACAUAAGGGAUAUCCUGUCUGAAUACUGAAUAACAGAAUAAGUAAAAGAUAGAGGGAGGUGUGGGCCACGGAACAGCCAAGCAGCUCACCACAACUCCAAGAACUUCAAGCCGGACUCGAUUUGCUCCACGAGAUGUGCUCCUACUCGGAAUCGAAUCUGCAUCACAAAGAGUGCAACAAGCGUAGUAUGAGUACGAAACCACGUGUACCCAGUAUGUCUCAUUGACCGACAACGAAGAAGUAGUGACGGGAGUUUAUAUAAGAAAAUAAGUUCUUAAAUUAUACAAGUAUAUAUAUAUAUAUAUUACACUCACUAUUUAAGUUUCAUCAAUAAAGGAAAUCAACAUUUAAUAUUUUCCAAACACCAAACAAAACAUAUAGUCAUCAAGAAUGAAUGAUGGGAUGAAAUGCAAUGCAAUAUGAUGUCAUGUAAUGAUAUGUCUCAGAAUACCCAAUACUCACUCAAUCGUAUAUACAUGAUACUCCUCGGAAAUACAUCGAGAGUUCAUGACCCAUAGGGGACUCGCGAGGUCCAUAUACCGACACGGACGAUCUCCACGUGUCUGUGCGGACGAUCUCAACGCACUAUCAUAAUAUCAAACAAUUUUCGCACGGACGGUCUCCACGUGCCCAAAUUACAAUCUUAACAUCUCACCAUCCCCAGCACGAACGAUCUCCACGUGCCCAACUUAUACUCAGUCUCAUCUCGAUGCAUGUGCACAAUAUUGUUUCAAUAGAGGGAAUGAUGAUGCAUCUCAAUCAAUCAAUAUGAAUAUAAUACAUAACCACCUCAAUUAUCUCAACUAUACGGGUGAAAUAAAUAAAACACAAUCACACAAGGAAUUCAAGUCAAGAAUAUAUCAGCUAAUGCCCAUAUGCUUUGGCAUUCUCAAAUUUCAACCCACAUUCUAAAAUAGUAUUUUUCUUUUUAUAACACCGGUACUCGUACCAAUGCCCAUCACACCAUUGAUACGAGACCACCAUCUUUCCCCCUUACCCCUUUGUCUAUUUUCAUUUUUAAUUUUUAAUUAGGAAAACGUCCUUCAACAAG
rnacentral:lncRNA from 1 species